UAACAUCUGUAAAGCUGCUGGAUAAUGACAAAUAAAAUAGCUGUAGAGUACACACAAAAGGAAAUGAGAAGGGACUUAAAAUGUUUUACUACCAAAGUAAAAAUCAGCUGAACACAAAAGAAGAUAGUGGUGCAGAAUAACAAAAAAGCUGUAAGGCUUACAGAACACAGACACCAAAAUGACAGAAUUAAGUCCUUCCUUAACAGUAAUUUCUAUAAAUAUAAAUGCAUUAAACUGGAAAAAGACAGAUUGGCAGAUUGGCUAGAAAAACCUGAUCCAAUUAUUUAUUUACAAGAGACUCAGUUUAGAUCCAAAGACACAAAAAAUUUUAAUAUGAAAGAGUGGGAAAAGAGAAUUCACAUAAAUAGUAACCAAAAGAGAGCUGGGGUGGCUGUACUGAGAUGAGUCAAGAUAGAUUUUAAAUCGGAAAAAUUUGCAAGGGACAAAGAAGGACAUAAAAGGUUCAGUACAGCAAGAAGAUAAAAUAAUGGUAAACAUUUACACAUGUAAUGACAGGUCAGGAAAUUAUAUGAAGCAGCCCUUCCCUUUUGUGGCCAUGGCGCAAGUGCCCUCAGCCAACAUGAAGUUUAAUCCCUUUGUGACUUUUGACCAGAGCAAAAACUGUAAAUGGCAUUUCAGUGCACCAUCCCACAUUCACAGGAAGAUCAUGUCUUUUCCUCUUUCCAAAGAGCUGAGAUGGAAGUAAAAGGUUCGAUCCGUGCCCAUCCGAAAGGAUGAUGAAGUGCAGGUUGUGCGAGGACACUACAAAGGUCAGCAAAUUGGCAAAUUAUCCCAGGUUUGCAGGAAGAGGCAUGUCCUCUACAUUGAACGAGUACAGCGAGAGAAGGCGGAUGGCCCAACUGUCUGUGUGGGCGUUCACUCUAGCAGGGUGGUUAUCACUAGACUAAAACUGGACAAAGACCGCCAAAAAGUCCUUGAACACAAAGCCAGAUUUUGCCAAGUAGGAAAGGAAAAGGGCAUAUAUAAGGAAGAAACAAUUGAGAAGAUGCAGGAGUAGAAUAAUCUUAUAUGCAACUUUAAAUAAAAACAGCUAAGGGUCGCCUGGGUAGCUGAGU